AGAGUUUGAUCAUGGCUCAGAACGUACGCUGGCGGCACGCCUAACACAUGCAAGUCGAACGCAGUAGCAAUACUGAGUGGCAAACGGGUGAGUAUAAUGUGGGAAUCUGCCUUUUGGUUCGGAAUAACACGGGGAAACUUGUGCUAAUACCGAAUAAGCCCUUACGGGGAAAGUUUUAAUGCCAAAAGAUGAGCCCGCACUUGAUUAGCUAGUUGGUAAGGUAAAAGCUUACCAAGGCAACGAUCAAUAGCUGUUCUUAGAGGAAGACCAGCCACAUUGGGACUGAGACACGGCCCAGACUCCUACGGGAGGCAGCAGUGGGGAAUCUUGCACAAUGGGGGAAACCCUGAUGCAGCGAUGCCGCGUGAGUGAAGAAGGCCCUUGGGUUGUAAAACUCUUUCGUCGGGGAAGAAAAUGACUGUACCCGAAUAAGAAGGUCCGGCUAACUUCGUGCCAGCAGCCGCGGUAAUACGAAGGGACCUAGCGUAGUUCGGAAUUACUGGGCUUAAAGAGCUCGUAGGUGGUUAAAAUAGUUGAUGGUGAAAUCCCAAGGCUCAACCUUGGAACUGCCAUCAAACUUUUUA
rnacentral:rRNA from 1 species